rnacentral:sRNA from 1 species
UCUUCAUGGACCCCAGCUUACAGUUGUAA